rnacentral:lncRNA from 1 species
GAAGUUCCGAAGACCACAGAAUUUGAGCCUAGCCCAGAGGGGUUCAAAAUAUUUGGAUCCAACCCAGGAUCACACAUUGUAUGGAGCGACCCUCUCUCUUCAGUCUCCUCUGAUCCGGGAGCAUUUCCUCAUUUUUUGUCUUGUAGAGCAGCCAGUUAUUUUGUCUGCUGCUCCUCGCUUUGGGUGGCAGCAUGAGUUACCACAGCCUUUGAAUUAGGUUCUUGAUGGUCACAGCAGGAUAUGACCUGAACGUGCUGGAGAAAGGAAGUAACUGCAGAAUUAACAUCCUCAUGCAAAAUGGGAGAAAAAUUCACAACUUUAAAAAAAGAAAAAUGCUCCACAUCUAACCACACUUGUGAAAUACCUGCAGCAAGUCUCUCCAUCUGGUAAGCCAACAUCAGAGCUGAUACGCAUGAAGCAUUUAGAAUCAGAAGCACAGUUACCCCAUCACUGUCUUCCCAAUGUGUCAUGGCAUCAGAGGACAAAAGUGAAUGAAGCAGCCAUUUGAAGUUACGCUUGAAGAGAAGACAGGCCUCCUCUUGUUGACCUGUGAAUAUACUCUGUGGAAGAAAAGACUUGAAGGCAUACUACUUCCUACAUAACUCUGAGGAGUACUGCGGACUGGGCAACUGCACGUGGACUUACUGAAGAGGAAAGUCCCACUAUCUGGGUGUGGGUGGCACCAACCAAUAGGCUUGCAGCCUGGACAGAAUAAGAAGGGAAAGAAGAAGAAAGUGUCACUGCUGCUUCUUCAGAGGAGCUCCAGUCUUCGCCAUUGCUUUGGGACAUUCAUCUCUAGCCUUCCAGUGGAGACUCUCCAGCUUCCUGAUACGGACUCCGAAGUGAGCUCCAGGCCUUUGACCUUUGACAGGAUCCUUUAGAUCUCCAGCAUGUGGACAGACCCUUUAUGUUCUCACACCUGACUCUGAGCAUGGCCACUGUAAGCCUACCUUGUAAAUCCUAUAUAUGUUAUAUACUGUAUAUAUAAUACUAUAUAAUACUAAGUCUGUUCCUCUAGUGAACUCUGAUACAUUAUCUUAUUUAUUUGUUUUGUGGUGCUGGGUAUUGAACCCAGAACCUUCAUACUGAGGUACAUCUGCAG